GUCAGACAUUCCUUUGAAGUGUGAUUUCUUGUUUCACUCCCAACAGAACCACUACCAUGAAAAUAGAAGACAUAUCACCGUAUCUUAGCAGUGGGUUGUGUAUUAGUGUUACGUCCAGCUGGUUAAUUUCAGACUACAUUGUAAAAAAUACAUUUCAAAUAAAAAAAUAUAUACUUUGUUGAACAGAGAAACUAAAAAUACUGGCUAUGGUGUUUGUGGUGAGAAAAAGAUAAAAUAAAUCCCAUUGCUUUCAAACUGAC